AGUGGCGGACGGGUGAGUAACGCGUGAGGAACCUGCCUUUCAGAGGGGGACAACAGUUGGAAACGACUGCUAAUACCGCAUGCUGAAAGAUGGCCUCGCGUCUGAUUAGCUGGUUGGUGAGGUAACGGCCCACCAAGGCGACGAUCAGUAGCCGGACCGAGAGGUUGACCGGCCACAUUGGGACUGAGAUACGGCCCAGACUCCUACGGGAGGCAGCAGUGGGGAAUAUUGGGCAAUGGGCGCAAGCCUGACCCAGCAACGCCGCGUGAAGGAAGAAGGCUUUCGGGUUGUAAACUUCUUUUAAGAGGGAAGCUGUACCUCUAGAAUAAGCCACGGCUAACUACGUGCCAGCAGCCGCGGUAAUACGUAGGUGGCAGGCGUUGUCCGGAUUUACUGGGUGUAAAGGGCGUGCAGCCGGGAAUGCAAGUCAGAUGUGAAAUCCAUGGGCUUAACCCAUGAACUGCAUUUGAAACUGUAUUUCUUGAGUACUGGAGAGGCAAUCGGAAUUCCUAGUGUAGCGGUGAAAUGCGUAGAUAUUAGGAGGAACACCAGUGGCGAAGGCGGAUUGCUGGACAGCAACUGUCGGUGAGGCGAGAAAGUGUGGGGAGCAAACAGGAUUAGAUGCCGUAGUAGUUCACACUGGGA
rnacentral:rRNA from 1 species